ACUCCUACGGGAGGCAGCAGUGGGGAAUAUUGCACAAUGGGCGCAAGCCUGAUGCAGCCAUGCCGCGUGUAUGAAGAAGGCCUUCGGGUUGUAAAGUACUUUCAGCAGUGAGGAAGGUAGGGUAUGUUAAUAGCAUAUUCAUUUGACGUUAGCUGCAGAAGAAGCACCGGCUAACUCCGUGCCAGCAGCCGCGGUAAUACGGAGGGUGCGAGCGUUAAUCGGAAUUACUGGGCGUAAAGCGCAUGCAGGUGGUUUGUUAAGUCAGAUGUGAAAGCCCGGGGCUCAACCUCGGAAUUGCAUUUGAAACUGGCAAACUAGAGUACUGUAGAGGGGGGUAGAAUUUCAGGUGUAGCGGUGAAAUGCGUAGAGAUCUGAAGGAAUACCGGUGGCGAAGGCGGCCCCCUGGACAGAUACUGACACUCAGAUGCGAAAGCGUGGGGAGCAAACAGGAUUAGAUACCCUGGUAGGCUC
rnacentral:rRNA from 1 species